CGCGUGAGUGAAGAAGGCCUUUGGGUUGUAAAGCUCUUUUGUAGGGGAAGAUAAUGACUGUACCCUAAGAAUAAGGUCCGGCUAACUUCGUGCCAGCAGCCGCGGUAAUACGAAGGGACCUAGCGUAGUUCGGAAUUACUGGGCGUAAAGCGCGCGUAGGCCGUUGAGUUAGUUAAUUGUGAAAUCCCAAAGCUUAACUUUGGAACUGCAAUUAAAACUGCUCGACUAGAGUUUGAUAGAGGAAAGCGGAAUACAUAGUGUAGAGGUGAAAUUCGUAGAUAUUAUGUAGAACACCAGUUGCGAAGGCGGACUUCUGGGUCAACACUGACGCUGAGGCGCGAAAGUAUGGGUAGCAAAGAGGAUUAGAUACCCUCGUAGUCCAUACCGUAAACGAUGAUUGCUAGAUGUUGGAAAUUUAUCUCCAGUAUCGCAGAUAACGCGUUAAGCAUUCCGCCUGGGGAGUACGAGCGCAAGGUUAGACCUCAUAUGAAUUCGACGGGGACCCGGACAAGCGGGUGGAGCCUGUGGUUAAUUCGAAGAUACGCGCAGAACCUUACCAAGCUUUGACUGUCUGCGCGCAGUUAGGACACUAAGCUUUAGGAUCGGCCGGACCG
rnacentral:rRNA from 1 species